UCACCUCUUACCAUUCCGAACAGAGCAGUUAAACCUUUUAGCGCAGAUGGUACUACGCAAGUGGGAGAGUAUGUCGCCGCCUU
rnacentral:rRNA from 1 species